UAAGCCUAUGGUCUAAUAGUCAAACACAGAAUUAGUAUGCAUUUAGUGACGCAAUCGCGAAUUCCAUAGUCGGUAUGAAUUCACUAUCUUUUUCCAGUGUAAGACUAAAGAAUAUAUACAUCGCGUGUAAACGUCAACGAAAUUCUAAUAUUGAGGCCACAAAGAUGACUCUUUUUUAUAUAUUCCGCAUAUCGUUAAUAUCAGAGUAUUCAUCAAAACGUUUGAGUAG